CCUACGGGAGGCAGCAGUGAGGAAUAUUGGUCAAUGGGAGAGAUCCUGAACCAGCCAAGCCGCGUGAGGGAAGACGGCCCUAUGGGUUGUAAACCUCUUUUGUCGGAGAACAAAACCCGGGACGUGUCCCGGACUGCGUGUAUCCGAAGACAGAGCAUCGGCUAACUCCGUGCCAGCAGCCGCGGUAAUACGGAGGAUGCGAGCGUUAUCCGGAUUUAUUGGGUUUAAGGGGUGCGUAGGCGGUCCGUAAAGUCAGCGGGAAAAUUGCGGGGCUCAACCCCGUCGAGCCGUUGAAACUGGCAGACUUGAGUUGGCGAGAAGUACGCGGAAUGCGCGGUGUAGCGGUGAAAUGCAUAGAUAUCGCGCAGAACUCCGAUUGCGAAGGCAGCGUACCGGCGCCAGACUGACGCUGAGGCACGAAAGCGUGGGGAUCGAACAGGAUUAGAUACCCCAGUAGUC
rnacentral:rRNA from 1 species